rnacentral:rRNA from 1 species
UACGUAGGUGGCAAGCGUUACUCGGAAUCACUAGGCGUAAAGCGCAGGUAGGCGGUUCGGUAAGUCUCUUGUGAAAGCUCCCGGCUCAACUGGGAGAGGUCAAGGGAAACUACCGGGCUAGAGUGUGGCAGAGGAAGCUGGAAUUCCCGGUGUAGCGGUGAAAUGCGUAGAGAUCGGGAGGAACACCUGUGGCGAAAGCGGCUCACUGGACCAUUACUGACGCUGAGGCUCGAAAGCUAGGGGAGCAAACAGG